rnacentral:ncRNA from 1 species
AAAAAGUUUUUUUAGCUUUGUUUUAUUAUAAAUGAUUGAGUUUUAUAUGUAAAUUUUUGUGUGAUUUAAGGUGAAUUUUAAAUAAGUUUAUUUUAUAUUAAUUCGCAGUAGAAAGUUUUAAUUUAUUUAAUAAUUUAAGAAUUAGUUAAGAUAUUUAGUAUUAACAAAAUUUGUGCCAGCAGUUGCGGUUAUACAGAUAAUGCAUUAAUAAAUAUUUGGUUAUUAGUUAAUAGGAAAAAAGAAUUAAAAUUUAAUUUUAUUAGGUGAAAUUUUAAGAUUAAGUAAAUUUUGAAUUUGAUUAUGAAGCUAGGAAAAUUUAAAAUUAAAACUAGGAUUAGAUACCCUAUUAUUUUUAAUGUAAUAAUUUAUACCUGAUUAGUAGUAGUUAUGGUCUUGAAAAUUAAAGAAAUUGGCGGUAUUUUAGUCUGUUCAGAGGAAUUUGCCCUAUAAUUGAUAGCCCACGAUCUACUUUACUUGUUUUGUCUGUUUACAUAUCGCCGUAGUUAGAGUAUUUUUAUAGAAAUAGAAUAUUCAUGAUUUGUUUUGCAAAGGAAAUCAGGUCAAGAUGUAGCUCAUAAAUAAGAAGAGGUGAAUUACAAUAAAUUUAUUUAUUUAUGGAUUAAUAAAAUGAAUAUUUUUAUAAAAGUGGAUUUGAAGGUAAUUUUAUUAAAGUUAAUAAAAUGAUUUUAGCUCUAAAAUAUGUACAUAUCGCCCGUCGCUUUCAUUAUAAAAUGAAAUAAGUCGUAACAAAGUAGGCUUACUGGAAGGUGUGCCUAGAAAGAC